CAUGUCUUUUUGAUUUUUAUUUAAGGUUUAAUCUGCUCAAUGAAUAUUUAAAUAGCUGCAGUAUUUUGACUGUACAAAGGUAGCAUAAUCAUUUGUUUUUUAAUUGAAAACUGGAAUGAAUGAUUGGACAAGAGAAAAGCUGUCUCAUUUUUAUUAUAUGAAUUUUACUUUUAAGUUCAAAGGCUUAAAUUUUAUUUUAAGACGAGAAGACCCUAUAGAGCUUUAUUUGAUUUAAUAUAUAAUAAUUUUUUGUAAUUUUAAAUUUUAUUUUUAAAUUAAAUUUGAUUGGGGUGAUUUAAAAAUUAAAUUAACUUUUUAUUUAUAUAAUUAUUUAUUUAUAAUUAUAAAAUCUGAUUUUUUCAAGUUAAAAAUAAGUUACCUUAGGGAUAACAGCGUAAUUUAGUUUUUAAGUUCUUAUUGAAAAUUGAGUUUGCGACCUCGAUGUUGGAUUAAAAUUUAAUGUUGAUGCAGUAGUCAACAAAUUAAGUCUGUUCGACUUUUGAAAUUUUACAUGAUCUGAGU
rnacentral:rRNA from 1 species